rnacentral:rRNA from 1 species
AUGCUUUACAGCUUAGAACCGGGGCUCCAAAAACGUUUUGAUAGACAUGGAGCAUAUGAGAUGUUCGAAGAGCUGAAAAUGGUUUUCCAAGCUCAUGCCCGGGUCGAGAGAUAUGAAGUCUCCAACAAGUUUUUCAGCUGUAAGAUGAAGGAAAAUAGUUCUGUCAGUGAGCACAUACUCACAAUGUCUGGGUUACAUAACCGCUUGACUCAGCUGGGAGUUAAUCUCCCGGAUGACGCAGUCAUUGACAGAAUCCUUCAGUCGCUUCCACCAAGCUACAAGAGCUUUGUGAUGAACUUCAAUAUGCAGGGGAUGGAAAAGACCAUUCCUGAAUUAUUUGCAAUGCUGAAAUCAGUAGAGGUAGAAGUCAAAAAGGAACAUCAAGUAUUGAUGGUAAAUAAAACCACUAAGUUCAAGAAAGGCAAGGGUAAGAAGAACUUCAAGAAGGAUGGCAAGGGAGUUGCUGCGCUCGGUAAGCAAGCUACCGGGAAGAAGCCAAAGAAUGGACCCAAACCCGAGACUGAGUGCUUUUAUUGUAAGGAAAGUGGUCACUGGAAGCGGAACUGCCCCAAAUACUUAGCGGACAAGAAGGCCGGCAAAACAAAAGGUAUAUGUGAUAUACAUGUAAUUGAUGUGUACCUUACCAGUACUCGUAGUAGCUCUUGGGUAUUUGAUACCGGUGCAGUUGCUCACAUUUGUAACUCAAAGCAGGAGCUGCGGAAUAAGCGGAGACUGGCGAAGGACGAGGUGACAAUGCGCGUCGGGAAUGGUUCCAAGGUCGAUGUGAUCGCCGUCGGCACGCUACCUCUACAUUUACCUACGGGAUUAGUUUUAAACCUCAAUAAUUGUUAUUUAGUGCCAGCUUUGAGCAUGAACAUUGUAUCGGGAUCUCGUUUAAUUCGAGAUGGCUACUCAUUUAAAUCCGAGAAUAAUGGUUGUUCUAUUUAUAUGAGAGAUAUGUUUUAUGGUCAUGCUCCGAUGGUGAAUGGUUUAUUCUUAAUGAAUCUCGAGCGUAAUGCUACACAUGUUCAUAGUGUGAAUACCAAAAGAUGUAAAGUUGAUAAUGAUAGUCCCACAUACUUGUGGCACUGCCGCCUUGGUCAGAUAGGUGUCAAACGCAUGAAGAAGCUCCGUGCAGAUGGACUUUUAGAGUCUCUUGAUUAUGAAUCAUUUGACACGUGUGAACCAUGUCUCAUGGGUAAAAUGACCAAGACUCCGUUCUCAGGAACAAUGGAGCGAGCAACCAACUUAUUGGAAAUCAUACAUACUGAUGUCUGCGGUCCAAUGAGCGUUGAGGCUCGCGGUGGCUAUCGUUAUGUUCUCACCCUCACUGAUGACUUGAGUAGAUAUGGGUAUGUCUACUUAAUGAAACACAAGUCUGAAACCUUUAAAAAGUUCAAGGAAUUUCAGAGUGAGGUUGAGAAUCAACGUGACAGAAAAAUCAAGUUUUUGCGAUCAGAUCGUGGAGGAGAAUACUUGAGUCACGAAUUUGGCACACACUUAAGAAAAUGUGGAAUAGUUUUACAACUCACGCCGCCUGAAACACCUCAGCGUAAUGGUGUGUCUGAAUGUCAUAAUCACACUCUAUUAGAUAUGGUGUGA